rnacentral:rRNA from 1 species
UACGUAGGGUGCAAGCGUUAAUCGGAAUUACUGGGCGUAAAGCGUGCGCAGGCGGUUAUGCAAGACAGAUGUGAAAUCCCCGGGCUCAACCUGGGAACUGCAUUUGUGACUGCAUAGCUGGAGUGCGGCAGAGGGGGAUGGAAUUCCGCGUGUAGCAGUGAAAUGCGUAGAUAUGCGGAGGAACACCGAUGGCGAAAGGCAAUCCCCUGGGCCUGCACUGACGCUCAUGCACGAAAGCGUGGGGAGCAAACAGG